rnacentral:rRNA from 1 species
GCACAAGCGGUGGAGCAUGUGGCUUAAUUCGACGCAACGCGAAGAACCUUACCAAGGCUUGACAUGCAGGGAAAUCCUCCAGAGAUGGGGGGUCCGCAAGGGUCCUGCACAGGUGGUGCAUGGUUGUCGUCAGCUCGUGUCGUGAGAUGUUGGGUUAAGUCCCGCAACGAGCGCAACCCUUGUCCUAUGUUGCCAGCGGGUUAUGCCGGGGACUCGUAGGAGACUGCCGGGGUCAACUCGGAGGAAGGUGGGGAUGACGUCAAGUCAUCAUGCCCCUUAUGUCCAGGGCUUCACACAUGCUACAAUGGCCGGUACAAAGGGCUGCGAUGCCGUGAGGUGGAGCGAAUCCUUUCAAAGCCGGUCUCAGUUCGGAUCGGGGUCUGCAACUCGACCCCGUGAAGUCGGAGUCGCUAGUAAUCGCAGAUCAGCAACGCUGCGGUGAAUACGUUCCCGGGC